UCAUCAUGUGUUGGGUUGUCCUGCUCCUUAUUCUUGCCAGUAAUUUCACAAAUGCCAUGGCUCAGAUUAGUGUGAUUCAGGACGCUGCAAUGUCAGUGUCUCCUGGGGUGAACAUCCGUCUGUCCUGUAGGCUCAGUGGAAGCACAGUAACUAGUGGUAACUAUCCAGGUUGGGUCCACCAGACACCUGGAAGUGUCCUCAAAGGUGUAGUUGGGAGUUAUGGUACGGGCAACCAAAAUUAUAACCCAGCCUCACCACGAUACACAGGAUCUAUAUCUGGAGGAUCAGCUGUCCUGACUAUUACCAAUGUGCAGGCUGAAGAUGAUGGUAUUUUCUACUGUACUCUGUGGUCUAACAGGCAGCUAUGGACCCACCUAAACCUCAUUGUGGAUUUCCUGUCCUGUGAAAAAGCUCUUGAGAUCUCCUGA